GCAGCCGCGGUAAUACGUAGGGUGCGAGCGUUGUCCGGAAUUACUGGGUGUAAAGGGAGCGUAGGCGGCUCUGCAAGUUGGAAGUUUAAUCUAGGGGCUCAACCCCUAAUCGCUUUCAAAACUGUAGAGCUUGAGUGAAGUAGAGGUAGGCGGAAUUUCCGGUGUAGCGGUGGAAUGCGUAGAUAUCGGAAGGAACACCAGUGGCGAAGGCGGCCUACUGGGCUUUAACUGACGCUGAGGCUCGAAAGCGUGGGUAGCAAACAGGAUUAGAUACCCC
rnacentral:rRNA from 1 species